rnacentral:rRNA from 1 species
GAUGAACGCUAGCGGCAGGCCUAAUACAUGCAAGUCGAACGGUGUAGCAAUACACAGUGGCGCACGGGUGCGUAACACGUAUGCAACCUACCUUACAUUGGGGGAUAGCCUUUCGAAAGGGAGAUUAAUACCGCAUAAGACAGUAACUAGGCAUCUAGUAGCUGUUAAAGAUUUAUCGAUGUAAGCUGGGCAUGCGUCCAAUUAGUUAGUUGGCGAGGUAAUGGCUCACCAAGACGAUGAUUGGUAGGGGAACUGAGAGGUCAAUCCCCCACACUGGCACUGAGAUACGGGCCAGACUCCUACGGGAGGCAGCAGUAGGGAAUAUUGGGCAAUGGGCGCAAGCCUGACCCAGCCAUGCCGCGUGCAGGAAGAAGGCGUUAUGCGUUGUAAACUGCUUUUAUACAGGAAGAAACGACCCUUGCGAGGGGCAUUGACGGUACUGUAUGAAUAAGCACCGGCUAACUCCGUGCCAGCAGCCGCGGUAAGAC